GUGGGGAAUUUUGGACAAUGGGGGCAACCCUGAUCCAGCAAUGCCGCGUGCAGGAAGAAGGCCUUCGGGUUGUAAACUGCUUUUGUACGGAACGAAACGGUCCUGGUUAAUACCUGGGGCUAAUGACGGUACCGUAAGAAUAAGCACCGGCUAACUACGUGCCAGCAGCCGCGGUAAUACGUAGGGUGCAAGCGUUAAUCGGAAUUACUGGGCGUAAAGCGUGCGCAGGCGGUUUUGUACGACAGGCGUGAAAUCCCCGGGCUCAACCGGGGAAUGGCGCUUGUGCCUGCAAGGCUGGAGUGCGGCAGAGGGGGAUGGAAUUCCGCGUGUAGCAGUGAAAUGCGUAGAUAUGCGGAGGAACACCGAUGGCGAAGGCAAUCCCCUGGGCCUGCACUGACGCUCAUGCACGAAAGCGUGGGGAGCAAACAGGAUUAGAAACCCCGGUAGUCC
rnacentral:rRNA from 1 species